rnacentral:rRNA from 1 species
AUUGAACGCUGGCGGCAUGCCUUACACAUGCAAGUCGAACGGCAGCACGGGGCAACCUGGUGGCGAGUGGCGAACGGGUGAGUAAUGCAUCGGAACGUACCUUUCAGUGGGGGAUAACGUAGAGAAAGUUACGCUAAUACCGCAUAUUCUGUGAGCAGGAAAGCAGGGGAUCGCAAGACCUUGCGCUGAUUGAGCGGCCGAUGUCAGAGUAGCUAGUUGGUGAGGUAAAGGCUCACCAAGGCGACGAUCUGUAGCGGGUCUGAGAGGAUGAUCCACCAAACUGGAACUGAGACACGGUCCAGACUCCUACGGGAGGAAGAAGUGGGGAAUUUUGGACAAUGGGGGCAACCCUGAUCCAGCCAUGCCGCGUGAGUGAAGAAGGCCUUCGGGUUGUAAAGCUCUUUCGGCCGGGAAGAAAUCGCACGGGCUAAUACCCUGUGUGGAUGACGGUACCGGAAUAAGAAGCACCGGCUAACUACGUGCCAGCCGCCGCCGUAAUAC